CUGCCAUAUCACAUUGAAACACCAGUUCUCGUACGAUCACUGAAGUUAAGCAAUGUCAAACUUGGUCAGUACCUCGAUGGAUGAUCUCUUGGAAAUACCAGGAACU